rnacentral:lncRNA from 1 species
AAGGCCACAAUAGUUGAAGCCGAUAAGAUAAAAUGGGGGACAGAGGGAAGAGGAGUGUGCCGCUGCUGGGUUUGUGCUUUCCGAUCCCAUUUCCCCCAAACCAGGGGCUAUUGCCAUUUGCUUAUUGGCCUCCACUCGCUGAAGUCGACCCAGCGAAGUAGAUUGGCGGCGUGAGCGAACGCACGUACCUGGGUGAGGUUCUUCUGUCCUAUAUGCAUAGUAUGCGUUUGUAUACGA